rnacentral:rRNA from 1 species
GACAGAGGUGCCAAGCGUUAGGCGGAAUCACUGGGCUUAAAGCGUGUGUAGGCGGAUCGUUAAGUACCUUGUGAAAUCCCGCGGCUUAACCGUGGAACGGCUCGGUAUACUGGCGGUCUUGAGCAACCUAGGGGCGAGCGGAACAAAUGGUGGAGCGGUGAAAUGCGUAGAUAUCAUUUGGAACGCCAAUGGUGAAAACAGCUCGCUGGGGGUUUGCUGACGCUGAGACACGAAAGCCAGGGGAGCAAACGGG